UACGGGGGGGCAAGCGUUGUUCGGAAUUACUGGGCGUAAAGGGCUCGUAGGCGGCCAACUAAGUCAGACGUGAAAUCCCCAGGCUCAACCUGGGAACUGCGUCUGAUACUGGAUGGCUUGAAUCCGGGAGAGGGAUGCAGAAUUCCAGGUGUAGCGGUGAAAUGCGUAGAUAUCUGGAGGAAUACCGGUGGCGAAGGCGGCAUCCUGGACCGGCAUUGACGCUGAGGAGCGAAAGCCAGGGGAGCGAACGGG
rnacentral:rRNA from 1 species